rnacentral:rRNA from 1 species
AUUGCACGCUGGCGGCAGGCCUAACACAUGCAAGUCGAACGAGUGGCGGACGGGUGAGUAAUGUCUGGGAAACUGCCCGAUGGAGGGGGAUAACUACUGGAAACGGUAGCUAAUACCGCAUACCAUCGGAUGUGCCCAGAUGGGAUUAGCUAGUAGGUGGAGUAACGGCUCACCUAGGCGACGAUCCCUAGCUGGUCUGAGAGGAUGACAAGCCACCCUGGAACUGAGACACGGUCCAGACUCCUACGGGAGGCAGCAGUGGGGAAUAUUGCACGAUGGGCGCAAGCCUGAUGCAGCCAUGCCGCGUGUAUGAAGAAGGCCUUCGGGUUGUAAAGUACUUUCAGCGAGGAGGCGUUACUCGCAGAAGAAGCACCUGCUAACUCCGUGCCAGCAGCCGCGGUAAUAC